AGCUUUGCACAGUGGCAGUAUCGUAGCCAAUGAGGUUUAUCCGAGGUGCGAUUAUUGCUAAGGUGCCGUUACCUUCCUAGGAGCAAAGUUCUAUAUAUACUGCUCCGGGGAUGUGGGAAGCUUCUGCAAAUCUGCUCCAUGA
ensembl:snRNA U4 U4 spliceosomal RNA